AUUGAACGCUGGCGGCAGGCCUAACACAUGCAAGUCGAGCGGAUGAAGGGAGCUUGCUCCUGGAUUCAGCGGCGGACGGGUGAGUAAUGCCUAGGAAUCUGCCUGGUAGUGGGGGAUAACGUCCGGAAACGGGCGCUAAUACCGCAUACGUCCUGAGGGAGAAAGUGGGGGAUCUUCGGACCUCACGCUAUCAGAUGAGCCUAGGUCGGAUUAGCUAGUUGGUGGGGUAAAGGCCUACCAAGGCGACGAUCCGUAACUGGUCUGAGAGGAUGAUCAGUCACACUAGAACUGGGCCACGGUCAAGAGUACUACGAGAGGCAGCAGUGGGGAAUAUUGGGCAGUAGUGGAAAGUCUGAUACAGCCGUGCGGAGUGUGAGGAGAAAGUCCUCGGAUCGUAAAGCACUUUAAGUUGGGAGGAAGGGCAGUAAGUUAAUACCUAGCUGUUUUGACGUUAACAACAGAAGAAGCACCGGCUAACUUCGUG
rnacentral:rRNA from 1 species